GAUGAACGCUGACAGAAUGCUUAACACAUGCAAGUCCACUUGAAUUUGGGUUUUUAACUUAGGUUUGGGUGGCGGACGGGUGAGUAACGCGUAAAGAACUUGCCUCACAGCUAGGGACAACAUUUGGAAACGAAUGCUAAUACCUAAUAUUAUGAUAAUAGGGCAUCCUAUAAUUAUGAAGGCUAUAAGCGCUGUGAGAGAGCUUUGCGUCCCAUUAGCUAGUUGGAGAGGUAACGGCUCACCAAGGCGAUGAUGGGUAGCCGGCCUGAGAGGGUGAUCGGCCACAAGGGGACUGAGACACGGCCCUUACUCCUACGGGAGGCAGCAGUGGGGAAUAUUGGACAAUGGACCGAGAGUCUGAUCCAGCAAUUCUGUGUGCACGAUGAAGUUUUUCGGAAUGUAAAGUGCUUUCAGUUGGGAAGAAACAAAUGACGGUACCAACAGAAGAAGUGACGGCUAAAUACGUG
rnacentral:rRNA from 1 species